rnacentral:rRNA from 1 species
GUUUGAUCCUGGCUCAGAUUGAACGCUGGCGGCAUGCCUUACACAUGCAAGUCGAACGGCAGCACGGGGGCAACCCUGGUGGCGAGUGGCGAACGGGUGAGUAAUACAUCGGAACGUGUCCUGUAGUGGGGGAUAGCCCGGCGAAAGCCGGAUUAAUACCGCAUACGCUCUACGGAGGAAAGGGGGGGAUCUUAGGACCUCCCGCUACAGGGGCGGCCGAUGGCAGAUUAGCUAGUUGGUGGGGUAAAGGCCUACCAAGGCGACGAUCUGUAGCUGGUCUGAGAGGACGACCAGCCACACUGGGACUGAGACACGGCCCAGACUCCUACGGGAGGCAGCAGUGGGCAAUUUUGGACAAUGGGGGAAACCCUGAUCCAGCAAUGCCGCGUGUGUGAAGAAGGCCUUCGGGUUGUAAAGCACUUUUGUCCGGAAAGAAAACCUCUGGGUUAAUACCCCGAGGGGGAUGACGGUACCGGAAGACAUAGCACGGGANAUCAU